UGUUCGCAAACGUGGGACAGCUUCAAAUGCAGUUGCGAUGAGACGGGAUACAGUGGGGCCACCUGCCACAACUCUAUCUACGAGCCUUCCUGCGAAGCCUACAAACACCUGGGCCAGACGUCAAAUUACUACUGGAUAGAUCCUGAUGGCAGUGGACCUUUGGGGCCUCUGAAAGUUUACUGCAACAUGACAGAGGACAAAGUGUGGACCAUUGUGUCUCAUGACUUGCAGAUGCAGACAACUGUGGUCGGCCACAACCCAGAAAAAUACUCGGUGACUCAGCUGGUUUACAGUGCCUCCAUGGACCAGAUCAGCGCCAUCACCAGCAGCGCGGAGUACUGCGAGCAGUAUGUCUCCUAUUUCUGCAAGAUGUC